UCGAGAAUCUUCGGCAAUGGGCGAAAGCCUGACCGAGCGACGCCGCGUGCGGGAUGAAGGCCCUCGGGUUGUAAACCGCUGUCGUAGGGGAGGAAGGCUCCGUGAAGAGCGGGGUUUGACCUAUCCUAGGAGGAAGUACGGGCUAAGUUCGUGCCAGCAGCCGCGGUAAUACGAACCGUACAAACGUUAUUCGGAAUCACUGGGCUUAAAGGGUGCGUAGGCGGCCAUGUAAGUGAGGUGUGAAAUCCCUCGGCUUAACCGAGGAACUGCGCUUCAUACUGCAUGGCUUGAGGGAGACAGGGGUAAGCGGAACUGAUGGUGGAGCGGUGAAAUGCGUUGAUAUCAUCAGGAACACCGGUGGCGAAAGCGGCUUACUGGGUCUCUUCUGACGCUGAGGUACGAAAGCUAGGGUAGCGAACGGGAUUAGAUACCCCGGUAGUCCUAGCUGUAAACGAUGAGCACUUAUCUGGGGAUCCUCCAUAGGUUCCCGGAUGAAGCGAAAGUGUUAAGUG
rnacentral:rRNA from 1 species